CAAUCAACCGGCCAGACGAUACUCUCUAUUCCCUGCUUCAGAUAAACGCUUUACUCUGAUUUCGCUUCUGUGUGCAGUACAGGGAGCCAACAGGCUAAAUGCUGCUAACGCCUCUCACCGUUUCCUGUUUUACAACGUAAACCUGCGCGUGCACAACGUGCCUCGACACCGAACUGAUGUCAUGACGCAAAUCUGCCACAUGAAUUAAUUUUACGAAACCGGUCACGAUUUUUUUUUUUUUUUUUUUUUUUACAGUCUAUGGUCACGAUUCAAAGGAUCAAAGUAAAGAAAUAAGAAAGUGUUUUAUGAAUGAGAAAUUGACAAUCAUUUUCAGUGUGAGAUAUGGUCAUCUUCAUCCUCUUCUGUCCACACAUUCCUUCAUGCACACUCUGAGGGGCCCAGUGCACACAUCUUCAAAGCCCUUGUCAUGGCGGACCGCUCAUGGCUCACAGCCACCAGAUCCAGUCUGUAUCCAGAUCAGAGGGUCACUGCAGUCACCCGGAUCCAGUACGUAUCCAGACCAGAUGGUGGAUCAGCACCUAGAAAGGACCUCUACUGCCCUGAAAGACAGCGGAGACCAGGACAACUAGAGCCCCAGAUACAGAUCCCCUGUAAAGACCUUGUCUCAGAGGAGCACCAGGACAAGACCACAGGAAACAGAUGAUUCUUCUGCACAAUCUGACUUUGCUGCAGCCUGGAAUUGAACUACUGGUUUCGUCUGGUCAGAGGAGAACUGACCCCCCAACUGAGCCUGGUUUCUCCCAAGGUUUUUUUCUCCAUUCUGUCACCGAUGGAGUUUUGGUUCCUUGCCGCUGUCGCCUCUGGCUUGCUUAGUUGGGGUCACUUCAUCUACAGCGAUAUCAUUGACUUGAUUGCAAAUUAAAACAGACACUAUUUCAACUGAACAGAGAUGACAUCACUGAAUUCAAUGAUGAACUGCCUUUAACUAUCAUUUUGCAUUAUUGACACACUGUUUUCCAAAUGAAUGUUGUUCAGUGAUUUGGCGCAAUGUAUUUUGUUUAAAGCACUAUAUAAAUAAAGGUGAUUGAUUGAUUGAUUAUUUUCAAUGUGCACAAUGAUUCAUUUUCCAUUGACGAAUAGAACGUUAAAAUAAUAUAAUUUGAGAUGGAAAUCUUUAGUAACAUAGUAAAUGUCUCUUUUGAUCAAUCUAAUGCACCCUUUUAUUAAUUUUAGUAAAUCCUUCUGAUUUUUGAGCAGCACUGUAAAUAAUAAUAAUACAAAUUUUUUUUUACAUACAACUUAAAAUAGUGCAACCUAAAUUUGCAACAUUACGUGUUUUUAUUGAACUUUGCAGCUUUGCAUUCACUUUUCUAGUUGGUCCCAACUCUCAUUACAAUGAAAACAGUGAACUGCAAAUUGAAAUGAUUUGUUGUCAAAAAAAUAUAAAAAAAUAAAAUAAUGAUGCGUGUGAUAUUCCCAACCAAAUUGAAACUUUGCUUGGAGAAACAUGAGGAGGAGUAGAUGACAGAAUACUUAUUUUUAAAACACCCUGGACCAGAGUAAGGAAAUGACAGACAUGCUUUUUCUUCUAUUGUGUUUUGUGCCAAAAAAAGGCUCUGAAAACAACCGAUGCUUGAGAACACAAAAGAAGAGGAAGAGAGUGACUAAAGGAAGGGCCAUAAAACUGAUGACAGUGCUUUUCUCUUAUCAGUCCAGCCUUCUCCACGAGUCAACAAUCCCCAGAGGAACGUGAGCACAACAUAAAACAACUGCGAAUUAUGAAGCAGCCAAGUGAUUUAUACCCAAGCAUAUUCGUGUCCAAAACACAUAAGAAAGGUUUCAAGAUUGUGCAAAUUGUCAUAGU
ensembl:lncRNA